rnacentral:rRNA from 1 species
UGAGCGGAGAUAUAUGGAGCUUGCUUUAUAUAACUUAGCAGCGAACGGGUGAGUAACACGUAGAUAAUCUAUCCUAUACUGGGGGAUAGCCCGAUGAAAGUUGGAUUAAUACCGCAUAUAGCUAUAUAGUUGCAUGAUUAUGUAGUGAAAGAUUUAUUGGUAUAGGAGGAGUCUGCGGCACAUUAGCUAGUAGGUGAGGUAAAGGCUUACCUAGGCGACGAUGUGUAGCCGGUCUGAGAGGAUGAACGGCCACAAUGGAACUGAGACACGGUCCAUACUCCUACGGGAGGCAGCAGUGGGGAAUAUUGCACAAUGGGGGAAACCCUGAUGCAGCAACGCCGCGUGAGUGAAGAAGGUUUUCGGAUUGUAAAGCUCUGUUAGCAGGGAAGAGGAAGGACGGUACCUGCAGAGGAAGCCACGGCUAACUACGUGCCAGCAGCCGCGGUAAUACGUAGGUGGCAAGCGUUGUUCGGAAUAACUGGGCGUAAAGGAUGCGUAGGCGGUUAAACAAGUUAUAUGUUAAAUAUAUAGGCUUAACCUGUAGAAAGCAUAUAAAACUGUUUAACUAGAGUGCAGGAGAGGUAAGUGGAAUUCCUAGUGUAGCGGUGAAAUGCGUAGAGAUUAGGAAGAACACCAGUGGCGAAGGCGACUUACUGGACUGUAACUGACGCUGAGGCAUGAGAGCAUGGGGAGCAAACAGGAUUAGAUACCCUGGUAGUCCAUGCUGUAAACGAUGGGUACUAGGUGUGGGUUGUGAAUAACAAUUCGUGCCGUC